rnacentral:tRNA from 1 species
GGGAGUGUGGCUCAGAGGUAGAGUACUUGCUUAGCUUGCAUGAGGCACUGGGUUCGAUCCUCAGCACCACA